rnacentral:rRNA from 1 species
UACGUAGGGUGCAAGCGUUGUCCGGAAUUAUUGGGCGUAAAGAGCUCGUAGGUGGCCUGUCGCGUCGGCUGUGAAAACUCGGGGCUCAACUCCGAGCUUGCAGUCGAUACGGGCAGGCUAGAGUUCGGCAGGGGAGACUGGAAUUCCUGGUGUAGCGGUGAAAUGCGCAGAUAUCAGGAGGAACACCGGUGGCGAAGGCGGGUCUCUGGGCCGAUACUGACACUGAGGAGCGAAAGCGUGGGGAGCGAACAGGAUUAGAA